GGAAGGAUCAUUAUCGAAGAGAAAUCCGGAGGGGAAGAUGAACGAGAGAAUUUUGAUUAGGGACUGUCGCUGGCCUUUGGUAACGAAGGCAUGUGCACGUCUCGAAGUCUUGCAAUUUUAGUACCUCGAUCUCUUUCCUUUCGCGAACCCCUUUUCUUACACCUGUGCACCCAUUGUAGGUCCCACGAGGGAUCUAUGUUCUAUCUAUCUACUCUUAAACGUAUGGCCUAGAAUGUCUUGAAACGUCGUCCGGCCUGGCUAUAACGCUUGGUUGGCGGCAGUAAAGAACUUUAUACAACUUUCAGCAACGGAUCUCUUGGCUCUCGCAUCGAUGAAGAACGCAGCGAAUUGCGAUACGUAAUGUGAAUUGCAGAUUUUCAGUGAAUCAUCGAAUCUUUGAACGCACCUUGCGCUCCUUGGUAUUCCGAGGAGCAUGCCUGUUUGAGUGUCAUUAAAUUCUCAACCAUCCUUUGAUUCAUUUCGAGGGUUGGCUUGGAUCUUGGGGGUUGCCGGGGGAGACUCACUGGGGUCGUCGGCUCUCCUUAAAAGUAUUAGCGAACGGGUGUGACGAGCUUCGUGCAUGAACGGCCUUCGACGUGAUAAUGAUCGUCGUGGCUGGGAGUGCCUUUGGAGAGGCUUGGAUCGUCUUUUGCUUUCUAAUAUUCUGAAUCGUAGAGGGGAGGGAAACUCUGCUCCGGCGGACGAAACUUUUCUUUACUUUUCUACUUUUGACUUUUGACCUCAAAUCAGGUAGGACUACCCGCUGAACUUAAGCAUAUCAAUAAGCGGAGGAAAAGAAACUAACAAGGAUUCCCCUAGUAACUGCGAGUGAAGCGGGAAGAGCUCAAAUUUUGAAUCUGGUGGUCCUUGCGGCCGUCCGAGUUGUAAUCUAGAGAAGCGUCUUCCGCGCUGGACCGUGUACAAGUCUCCUGGAAAGGGAGCGUCAUAGAGGGUGAGAAUCCCGUCUUUGACACGGACUACCAGGCUAUGUGAUGCGCUCUCGACGAGUCGAGUUGUUGGGGAAUGCAGCUCAA
rnacentral:sRNA from 1 species